UUUUCUCAUAGUUUAUAGGUAAAAUAUUACACUGAAAAUGUAAAGAAAAAAGUUUUGAGGAAAA
rnacentral:tRNA from 1 species